rnacentral:SRP_RNA from 1 species
GCCGGGCGUGGUGGCUCAUGCCUGUAAUCCCAGCACUUUGGGAGGCCGAGGUGGGCGGAUCACCUGAGGUCAGGAGUUCAAGACCAGCCUGACCAACAUGGAGAAACCCCAUCUCUA